GGGGGAGGAGCCAAGAUGGCCGAAUAGGAACAGCUCCGGUCUACAGCUCCCAGCGUGAGCGACGCAGAAGACGGGUGAUUUCUGCAUUUCCAUCUGAGGAUGAUUAACAGCAUUCAAGGUGGUGGCUACACAUCACAUCAGCCUGGAUUCUCAAGUAGGAAGAUACGCAACAGAGCAUCCAGCUGACCUUCACUGGAUAUGUUGUAUGAACAAGAACAUGCAGCAAUAUGGUGGGGACGCAUACUACAGCUGAGCUCUGGACAGGAAGUUUUCCAUUUUAUGAGAAACUCAAACCACCAAGAAAACCAGCUUAUCUCACAAAAUAUUUUUAUACUUCUCUAGAACUCAGUAAGAGGCCCUCAACGGAUUGGAUGAUGCCUCUCCACGGUCCACAUCGGUGAGGGUGAUUGUCUUUACUCAGCCUAUUGAUUCAAACACUAAUCUCUUCUGGAAACACUCUCAGACUCACCCAGAAGUAAUGUUUGGCCAGCCAUCGGAGCAUCCUCUGGCUUAGUCAAGUUAACACAUAGAAUUAACCAUCACAGAAGGCAACAGAAAAACCUUUAAAGAAUCAAUAGAAAAUAUGUGCAUCAGAAAAUAUUGCUGGCUUACCCAAAAGCUAUUUCCCUUUUGUUCCUUACUAACAACUCUUACUUUGUUUAUAUUUGAGGAAGUAAUGUACUUAAGGAAGUUUUGUCUCUAACCCAGCAUUCAAGAAUGCGAAGACAAUCACGUUAAUCCCAUUUCCUCUACCAGUGAUUGGUGUGGAGGUGGGCAUAUCACUCACUUAUAACCAAAAGGUCCUGAGGGGGACUUACUAAGAACUUUUCAGAAAGGUUUUUCUCCAUGAUUAAAAGAAAAAUUGUAAAGGAAACAUCCCUUUCCUGUUUGAAUUCACUUGUGUGAGGACGUGAUGCUUGUAUCUAUGGCAACCAUUCUGUAACCAUGAGAUGAAAGCUAAAAGAAUCACAGAGAAGCUGACCCAAAACCCAGACAACUACAUUGCUGAAUCAGCAAACCUCAGAACUAUUUAUUUCCAGAUUUGUGUUGUAUGAAUAAUGAAUUCUUGUUUUUAGGCUCUAGUAAAUAUUCCAUUUCUUAGAGCAAACAGCAUUCUCAUGGAUAAAAUAUUUAUGAAUAACAUCCAUCUGUUUCCCUUUUAUUCAAUAUUUCAAGGUUAUUGAAAUUAUUAUAAAUAAAAUCAUUAAUAUUAUUUUUAAUCUACAUUUUUAUUUAGGUAUAACUAUAAAUUAGGCAUAACAAUUGAUAGCAUCUGAUAGACAUGAUUAGAGUUCAUGGGAAUAUACAGCUAAAUCUUUACAAAGGUCAUUAUAGCAGGUCAUUUUACAAUGUCUAGAGUCUUUACCAUCUCAUUUAUAUUUUCUCAUUUGAC
rnacentral:lncRNA from 10 species